rfam:Candidatus Nealsonbacteria bacterium RIFCSPHIGHO2_02_FTLL_43_13 rifcsphigho2_02_scaffold_23434, whole genome shotgun sequence.
CAAGUAGGCGAGGCAAUUACCCUUCGGUGGGUUUGGGGUUUACCCUGAGCUUGUCGAAGGGAGGAAAGUCCGAACUCCUUUCCGCCUCAUCGGCGGAGAAAGGUAGCGGGUAAUUCCCGCCCGGCGCGAGCCGAGAGAUGCGAACAGAGACGAGUCUUUGAUAGGUUUGGGGCUUGCCCCGAGCUUGUCGAAGGGUGAAACGGCAAAAUUCUUACCCGGGAGCAAGAGCAAAGCAGAAAGCUGUGUUUUAUCAUAGAAUUUCUGUUAAAAGUAGCUCGCAUGACCCCGAGAGCAAUCGAGGGGCUAGAUAGAUGAUUGCCCACGACAGAAUUCGGCUUAUUGCCUGCUUGAGCA